GGUCAAGCUACAAAGGGCUCACGGCGGAUACCUUGGCACACAGAGGCGAUGAAGGACGUGGUUACCUGCGAUAAGUCCCGGGGAGCUGGAAGCACGCUUUGAUCCGGGAAUUUCCGAAUGGGGCAACCCUUAAUACGGCCAGCUGAAUCCAUAGGCUG
rnacentral:rRNA from 1 species